UGUCUUCAGGGCGGGGUGAAAUUCCCCACCGGCAGUAAUGGGCAAACGCCUUAGCCUGCGAGCGAAAGCUGAUUUCGGUGAGAUUCCGAAGCCGACGGUAAAGUCCGGAUGAAAGAAG
rnacentral:ncRNA from 1 species